UACGAAGGGGGCUAGCGUUGUUCGGAAUCACUGGGCGUAAAGGGCGCGUAGGCGGCCGAUCAAGUCGGGGGUGAAAGCCUGUGGCUCAACCACAGAAUUGCCUUCGAUACUGUUUGGCUUGAGACCGGAAGAGGUUAGUGGAACUGCGAGUGUAGAGGUGAAAUUCGUAGAUAUUCGCAAGAACACCAGUGGCGAAGGCGGUAUCCUGGACCGGCAUUGACGCUGAGGCGCGAAAGCUAGGGGAGCAAACGGG
rnacentral:rRNA from 1 species